CGUGGGCAACCUGCCUCAUAGAGGGGAAUAGCCUUCCGAAAGGGAGAUUAAUACCGCAUAAGAUUGUAGUACCGCAUGGUACAGCAAUUAAAGGAGCAAUCCGCUAUGAGAUGGGCCCGCGGCGCAUUAGCUAGUUGGUGAGGUAACGGCUCACCAAGGCGACGAUGCGUAGCCGACCUGAGAGGGUGAUCGGCCACAUUGGGACUGAGACACGGCCCAGACUCCUACGGGAGGCAGCAUG
rnacentral:rRNA from 1 species